rnacentral:rRNA from 1 species
UACGAAGGGGGCUAGCGUUGUUCGGAAUUACUGGGCGUAAAGCGCGCGUAAGCGGACAUUUAAGUCAGGGGUGAAAUCCCGGGGCUCAACCCCGGAACUGCCUCUGAUACUGGGUGUCUAGAGUUCGGAAGAGGUAAGUGGAAUUGCGAGUGUAGAGGUGAAAUUCGUAGAUAUUCGCAGGAACACCAGUGGCGAAGGCGACUUACUGGUCCGAUACUGACGCUGAGGUGCGAAAGCGUGGGGAGCAAACAGG